rnacentral:rRNA from 1 species
CCUACGGGAGGCAGCAGUGGGGAAUAUUGGGCAAUGGGCGCAAGCCUGACCCAGCAACGCCGCGUGAAGGAAGAAGGCUUUCUGGUUGUAAACUUCUUUUGACAGGGAAGAGUAGCAGGCGGUGCGUGUCGACUAAGCCACGGCUAACUACGUGCCAGCAGCCGCGGUAAUACGUAGGUGGCAAGCGUUGUCCGGAUUUACUGGGUGUAAAGGGCGUGUAGCCGGGUUGAUAAGUCAGAUGUGAAAUCCUGCGGCUUAACCGCAGAACUGCAUUUGAAACUGUUGGUCUUGAGUACUGGAGAGGCAGACGGAAUUCCUAGUGUAGCGGUGAAAUGCGUAGAUAUUAGGAGGAACACCAGUGGCGAAGGCGGUCUGCUGGACAGCAACUGACGGUGAGGCGCGAAAGCGUGGGGAGCAAACAGGAUUAGAUACCCCUGUAGUC